AUGAACGCUAGCUACAGGCUUAACACAUGCAAGUCGAGGGGCAGCAUGAAGUUUGCUUGCAAACUUUGAUGGCGACCGGCGGAUGGGUGAGUAACGCGUACCCAACCUGCCCCCUUCCCGGGCACAGCCCUUGGAAACGAGGAUUAACGCCCGAUGGCGUCUGGAUGCCGCAUGGAGAACCAACCAAAGGCCGGGCAACCGGUCACUGAAGGAUGGGCCUGCGUCUGAUUAGCUAGUUGGUAAGGUAACGGCUUACCAAGGCGACGAUCAGUAGCCGGUCUGAGAGGAUGAACGGCCACAUUGGGACUGAGACACGGACCAGACUCCUACGGGAGGCAGCAGUGAGGAAUAUUGGUCAAUGGGCGGAAGCCUGAACCAGCCAAGUAGCGUGAAGGAUUACAGCCCUACGGGUUUUAAACUUCUUUUAUAUGAGAGUAAUGUGCACUACGUGUAGUGUAUUGCAAGUAUCAUAUGAAUAAGCAUCGGCUAACUCCGUG
rnacentral:rRNA from 1 species